rnacentral:rRNA from 1 species
CUUGGUCAUUUAGAGGAAGUAAAAGUGGUAACAAGGGUUCCGUAGGUGAACCUGCGGAAGGAUCAUUACCUAGAGUUUGUGGCUUUGCCUGCUAUCUCUUACCCAUGUCUUUUGAGUAC